ACUUCAAAAUUCGAGUUGUGUAAGCAUCAUAGAAUAAAUAAGGAAAAUAGAAUUAAAUAAAUAAAUAAAUAAAUACACCAAUGGAAUGGUUUGGGUUGCCGUGGUUGCAAGGGAUGUGUGGUUGUUGAUGUGUGUAGUGGUCUGUGUGAGCUGUAAUUGGUGCCGGGUGCGUGCGCACGGAUACUCCAAGAAGUUCCUCAACAAAAUACACACCAGGAUCAAAGCAGCCCAGAGUGAUAGGAGGAUUGAUGCUAGAAAGAUAAGCAGAGACAAUGAUGAUUUUAUCACUGUCCCAUACCAAACUAGUAAGCUGAACGUAAUAAAGGAAAUAGCGAGAAAAACGGGUAAAACGAUCACCACCAGAAGACAGCCGACACUGUUCAA
rnacentral:lncRNA from 1 species